AGGAAGCUGAGGCUUGGAGACCUUAGCAGCUUGCCAAGGGCACACAGCAGGAACUGGCACCCAGCCUGUGCUUGCCCAGUACUGUGUGUGGUGUGCAAACCUGGCAGGGAGCCUCCGCUCUUUAAGAGAGCAAUGCUCAGCUCAGGCUCAGAGUCACAGAGAAAGAAGCCACCUCUCCCACCGCCACUGCUGGUGUCACAGCAAAGAAGCAGGAAGGAAUCCGGGGAACUGUUAGAGGAAAACAUCCCCUUCUUAACCAGGGCUGAUGGCCAGAAGCUGUGUGAAAACUGCAUCCCACCAACGCAGAACCCAACACACAUCCAGGACCCAAGCUGUGAGCAAGUCUAGGAAAUAGUUUUACUCGUGUGACUUUGCAGAGAGAAGGAGGGCGCUGGGGGCUGAGAGGGCAACAUGAACCCUGUACAGCUGGGUAUAAAAUUCUAGAUUAUGUGAAUUUUUUUUUCCUGAGAAUUUUGAAGGCAUUGUUCCAUUAGCUUCUAAUUUCUGGUUUCAUUGUUGAAAAGCCCUAACACCUUUCAAAUUCCUUAAUAAACACACUCUUUUAAUCUCCCUGUUGGAAGCUCCGAGGUCUGCUCUUCUGGCGUUCUAAGUCGGGAUGAUGACAGAUGUCAGUGUGGGUUGUUUUUCUUUCAUGCACUGGGCGCACAGUGUGCCCUUUCCAUGUGAACCCUGACCUGUGCUAUGGACUGAAAUUUGUGUCACUUCUCAAAUCAAAUGGUGAAACCUUGCCACCAGUGUGAUGGGACUAGGAGGUGGGGCCUUUGGGAGGUGCUUAGGCCGUGACAGUGGAGCCCCCAUGAACAGGAUUAGGGCCCUUAUGAAAGACCUCAGGGAGCCCCUUCACACCUCUGCGACGUGGGGCAGUGUGAAGACAUGUUGGUGGACUGGAAGCGGCGCUCACCAGAUGCUGAAUCUGCCGAUGCGUCCUGACCUUGGACCUCUCAGGCUCCAGAACUGUAACAAAUAAAUGUCUGUUGUUUACAAGC